UUUAAUUCAAUGCAAAGCGAAGAACCUUACCAGGGCUUGACAUGCCGCAAAUCUAUUUAUAGAGAGGGGUGCCUUUGAGAAUGCAGACACAGGUGGUGCAUGGCUGCCGUCAGCUCGUGUCGUAAGGUGUUGGGUUAAGUCCCGCAACAAGUAUAACCCUCUUGUUUAGUUUCUAUCAUUGAAUUUGGAACCCUGAACAAACUGCUUGUGAUAAGCCAGAGGAAGGUGACUCGGGAAUUAAUGAAGUCACUUCACUUCAAUGAAAGGGAGUA
rnacentral:ncRNA from 1 species